rnacentral:rRNA from 1 species
AUACGUAGGUGGCAAGCGUUGUCCGGAUUUAGUUGGGCGUAAAGCGAGCGCAGGUCGGUUUUUUAAGUUCUGAUGUGAAAGCCUUCGGCUUAACCGGAGAAGUGCAUCGGAAACUGGGAGACUUGAGUGCAGAAGAGGACAGUGGAACUCCAUGUGUAGCGGUGGAAUGCGUAGAUAUAUGGAAGAACACCAGUGGCGAAGGCGGCUGUCUAGUCUGUAACUGACGCUGAGGCUCGAAAGCAUGGGUAGC